rnacentral:rRNA from 1 species
AGAGUUUGAUCCUGGCUCAGAACGAACGCUGGCGGCAGGCCUAACACAUGCAAGUCGAAGGAGAAGCACUCUUCGGAGUGUGGACACUAACGCACAAGUGAGUAACGCGUGGGAAUCUACCCCAAGGUAAAAAACAACCGCUGGAAACAACGGCUAAUACCGCAUACACCUUGAAAGGGAAAACUUUAGCGCCCUGGGAUGAGCCCGCGUUAGAUUAGGUUGUUGGUGGGAUAAUGGCCUACCAAGCCUACGAUCUAUAGCUGGUCUGAGAGGAUGAUCAGCCACACUGGGACUGAGACACGGCCCAGACUCCUACGAAAAACAACAAUAAAAAAUAUUAGACAAUAAAAACAACCCUGAUCCAGCCAUGCCACGUGCAUAAAAAAAGCCUUAAAAUUGUAAAGCGCUUUCACUGAUGAAGAUGAUGACUAUAGCCAAAGAAGAAGCCCCAGCUAACUCCGUGCCAGCAGCCACGAUAAUACGGAAAAAACAAGCGUUGUUCGGAAUUACUGGGCGUAAAGAGCGCGUAGGCAGAAUAUCAAGUUAGGAGUGAAAGGCCUGGGCUCAACCUAGGAACUGCCUCUAAAACUGGUAAUCUAGAGUUCAAAAAAGGAUAGCGGAAUUCCUAGUGUAAAGGUGAAAUUCGUAGAUAUUAGAAAGAACACCGAUGGCGAAGGCGACUAUCUGGCCCGAUACUGACACUGAGGCGCAAAAGCGUAGAAAGCAAACAGGAUUAGAUACCCUGGUAGUCCACGCCGUAAACGAUGUGUGCUAGCCGUUAAAGCACUUAGUGUCUCGGUGGCACAGCUAACACUUUAAACACACCGCCUGGGGAGUACGAUCACAAGAUUAAAACUCAAAGGAAUUGACAAAAACCCACACAAGCGAUGGAGCAUAUGGUUUAAUUCGAAGCAACGCGCAGAACCUUACCAGCCCUUGACAUGAGCAUCGCGGAUUUGAGAAACCAGAUCCUUCAGUUCGGCUGGACGCCACACAGGUGCUGCAUGGCUGUCGUCAGCUCGUGUCAUGAGAUGUUGGGUUAAGUCCCGCAACGAGCGCAACCCUCGCCCUUAGUUGCCAUCGGUUCGGCCGGGCACUCUAGGGGAACUGCCGGUGAUAAGCCGGAGGAAGGUGAGGAUGACGUCAAGUCCUCAUAGCCCUUAUGGGCUGGGCUACACACGUGCUACAAUGGCGGUGACAGUGGGCAGCGAGGUCGCGAGGCCAAGCUAAUCUCUAAAAGCCGUCUCAGUUCGGAUUGUUCUCUGCAACUCGAGAGCAUGAAGGUGGAAUCGCUAGUAAUCGUGGAUCAACAUGCCACAGUGAAUACGUUCCCGGGCCUUGUACACACCGCCCGUCACACCAUGGGAGUUGGUUUUACCCAAAGCAAGUGCGCUAACCGCAAGGAAACAGCCUACCACGGUAAGGUCAGCGACUGGGGUGAAGUCGUAACAAGGUA